rnacentral:lncRNA from 1 species
UUUCGUCGUGACUCCUCCUUAUGCCCACUUCGUCCUUCGAACCGAUCAUGGCUAGAUGCUUCGUCCCGUAAUUCCGCCACCCGAAGCAUCUGUUCGGCUAUAUCUUCUCUUUGCUUUAACAGGACUUCCAUGGCUCUAUCUGCUUCGUCCGCCAUCUUUGCCAACUUGGCAGCUCUAUCCUCCUGGCUACUUCUAUGAUAAAUCUUGGUCGGUGAGCCUUCCACCUGUCUUCGACCAUGAUCUCG